UUUUAAAAAUUCCAUCCAUUUCUAUUGUUAAAAAUUGACGUGACUAACAAAAUAACCAGACAGUUACACGUGGCAUGUUAUGUGUACCUUAUGAUGAUAUACAUGAACUAGUUUUUAAUAGUAGAAAUGAAUGCAAUUUUCAACC
rfam:Gossypium raimondii Chr08_contig_1321, whole genome shotgun sequence.